rnacentral:misc_RNA from 1 species
CCGGGGGGUCGGCGUUGGGGGACUUCGGGAACCCCUAAGACGGGAUCCCGGCCCCGAAAUACAGUGGCGGUCUCGCCGCAGCCUCUCAUGCGCAGUAGUUUGCACAACUCGCACCGGGAGCGCGGCGCGUCCACGUCCGUAAAACACCCAACUUCUGAAAUGUUGACCUCGGAUCAGGUAGGAAUACCCGCUGAACUUAA